rnacentral:rRNA from 1 species
UACGAAGGGGGCUAGCGUUGUUCGGAUUUACUGGGCGUAAAGCGCACGUAGGCGGAUCGUUAAGUCGGGGGUGAAAUCCUGGAGCUCAACUCCAGAACUGCCUUUGAUACUGGAGAGCUUGAGUCCGGGAGAGGUGAGUGGAACUGCGAGUGUAGAGGUGAAAUUCGUAGAUAUUCGCAAGAACACCAGUGGCGAAGGCGGCUCACUGGCCCGGUACUGACGCUGAGGUGCGAAAGCGUGGGGAGCAAACAGG